rnacentral:rRNA from 1 species
AGCGAACGCUGGCGGCAGGCCUAACACAUGCAAGUCGAACGGAUCCUUCGGGAUUAGUGGCGGACGGGUGAGUAACACGUGGGAACGUGCCCUUUGGUUCGGAACAACUCAGGGAAACUUGAGCUAAUACCGGAUGUGCCCUUCGGGGGAAAGAUUUAUCGCCAUUGGAGCGGCCCGCGUCUGAUUAGCUAGUUGGUGAGGUAACGGCCCACCAAGGCGACGAUCAGUAGCUGGUCUGAGAGGAUGAUCAGCCACACUGGGACUGAGACACGGCCCAGACUCCUACGGGAGGCGGCAGUGGGGAAUCUUGCGCAAUGGGCGAAAGCCUGACGCAGCCAUGCCGCGUGAAUGAUGAAGGUCUUAGGAUUGUAAAAUUCUUUCAGCGGGGACGAUAAUGACGGUACCCGCAGAAGAAGCUCCGGCUAACUUCGUG